rnacentral:rRNA from 1 species
GACAGAGGGUGCAAACGUUGCUCGGAAUGACUGGGCGUAAAGCGCGUGUAGGCGGAUUGGUGUGUCAGAUGUGAAAGCCCUGGGCUCAACCCAGGAACUGCACCUGAAACUACCAGUCUUGAGUGGUGGAGAGGGAAGUGGAAUUCCUGGUGUAGAGGUGAAAUUCGUAGAUAUCAGGAGGAACACCAGUGGCGAAGGCGGCUUCCUGGACACUAACUGACGCUGAGACGCGAAAGCGUGGGGAGCAAACAGG